CCUACGGGGGGCAGCAGUGGGGGAUAUUGCACAAUGGGGGAAACCCUGAUGCAGCGACGCCGCGUGAGUGAAGAAGUAUUUCGGUAUGUAAAGCUCUAUCAGCAGGGAAGAAAAUGACAGUACCUGACCAAGAAGCCCCGGCUAACUACGUGCCAGCAGCCGCGGUAAUACGUAGGGGGCAAGCGUUAUCCGGAUUUACUGGGUGUAAAGGGAGCGUAGACGGUUAUGUAAGUCUGGAGUGAAAGCCCGGGGCCCAACCCCGGGACUGCUUUGGAAACUGUGUAACUGGAGUACAGGAGGGGCAGGCGGAAUUCCUGGUGUAGCGGUGAAAUGCGUAGAUAUCAGGAGGAACACCGGCGGCGAAGGCGGCCUGCUGGACUGAAACUGACGUUGAGGCUCGAAAGCGUGGGGAGCAAACAGGAUUAGAUACCC
rnacentral:rRNA from 1 species